CGCGUAGGUGGUUGCGUAAGUCGGAUGUGAAAUCCCCAGGCUUAACCUGGGAACUGCAUCCGAUACUGCAUGACUCGAGUGCAGCAGAGGGAAACGGAAUUCCUGGUGUAGAGGUGAAAUUCGUAGAUAUCAGGAGGAACACCGGUGGCGAAGGCGGUUUCCUGGGCUGACACUGACACUGAGGCGCGAAAGCGUGGGUAGCAAACA
rnacentral:rRNA from 1 species